rnacentral:rRNA from 1 species
GACGAACCGUCCUAACGUUGUUCGGAAUCACUGGGCUUAAAGGGCGCGUAGGCGGGCAUGCAAGUCCGGGGUGAAAGCUUUCGGCUUAACCGGAAAAGGGCCUUGGAUACUGCAUGUCUAGAGGGAGGUAGGGGUCUGUGGAACUUCGGGUGGAGCGGUGAAAUGCGUAGAUAUCGGAAGGAACGCCGGUGGCGAAAGCGGCCAACUGGACCUCUUCUGACGCUGAUGCGCGAAAGCUAGGGGAGCGAACGGG